GACGAACGCUGGCGGCGUGCUUAACACAUGCAAGUCGAACGGAAAGGCCCUGCUUUUGUGGGGUGCUCGAGUGGCGAACGGGUGAGUAACACGUGAGUAACCUGCCCUUGACUUUGGGAUAACUUCAGGAAACUGGGGCUAAUACCGGAUAGGAGCUCCUGCUGCAUGGUGGGGGUUGGAAAGUUUCGGCGGUUGGGGAUGGACUCGCGGCUUAUCAGCUUGUUGGUGGGGUAGUGGCUUACCAAGGCUUUGACGGGUAGCCGGCCUGAGAGGGUGACCGGCCACAUUGGGACUGAGAUACGGCCCAGACUCCUACGGGAGGCAGCAGUGGGGAAUAUUGCACAAUGGGCGGAAGCCUGAUGCAGCAACGCCGCGUGCGGGAUGACGGCCUUCGGGUUGUAAACCGCUUUCGCCUGUGACGAAGCGUGAGUGACGGUAAUGGGUAAAGAAGCACCGGCUAACUACGUGCCAGCAGCCGCGGUGAUACGUAGGGUGCGAGCGUUGUCCGGAUUUAUUGGGCGUAAAGGGCUCGUAGGUGGUUGAUCGCGUCGGAAGUGUAAUCUUGGGGCUUAACCCCUGAGCGUGCUUUCGAUACGGGUUGACUUGAGGAAGGUAGGGGAGAAUGGAAUUCCUGGUGGAGCGGUGGAAUGCGCAGAUAUCAGGAGGAACACCAGUGGCGAAGGCGGUUCUCUGGCCUUUCCUGACGCUGAGGAGCGAAAGCGUGGGGAGCGAACAGGCUUAGAUACCCUGGUAGUCCACGCUGUAAACGGUGGGUACUAGGUGUGGGGUCCAUUCCACGGGUUCCGUGCCGUAGCUAACGCUUUAAGUACCCCGCCUGGGGAGUACGGCCGCAAGGCUAAAACUCAAAGGAAUUGACGGGGCCCCGCACAAGCGGCGGAGCAUGCGGAUUAAUUCGAUGCAACGCGUAGAACCUUACCUGGGUUUGACAUGGAUCGGGAGUGCUCAGAGAUGGGUGUGCCUCUUUUGGGGUCGGUUCACAGGUGGUGCAUGGCUGCCGUCAGCUCGUGUCGUGAGAUGUUGGGUUAAGUCCCGCAACGAGCGCAACCCUUGUUCACUGUUGCCAGCACGUUAUGGUGGGGACUCAGUGGAGACCGCCGGGGUCAACUCGGAGGAAGGUGGGGAUGACGUCAAGUCAUCAUGCCCCUUAUGUCCAGGGCUUCACGCAUGCUACAAUGGCUGGUACAGAGAGUGGCGAGCCUGUGAGGGUGAGCGAAUCUCGGAAAGCCGGUCUCAGUUCGGAUUGGGGUCUGCAACUCGACCUCAUGAAGUCGGAGUCGCUAGUAAUCGCAGAUCAGCAACGCUGCGGUGAAUACGUUCCCGGG
rnacentral:rRNA from 1 species